GGCAGUACCGGGAGAGCGACCUGGUAACUGGCAGAAAUAGCUCCCUUGGCACGAGCGAUUGCCAGGGGGAGCUUUCUGCGCUCUUCAGAUCUCUGAAAAGAGUUGGUGCAUUCGCGCUAAAGCCUUGUAUAGCGACGAACUUGUUUUCAGCGGAUACCGCAUCGCUCGGGGAGAACGUCGUUCUCCUCGCGGUUCUGUGGCCUCA
rnacentral:sRNA from 10 species